GGGGAUAGCUCAGUGGUAGAGUGCAUGCUUAGUUAGUAUGUACAGGGUCCUGGGUUCAAUCCCCAGUACCUCCA
rnacentral:tRNA from 1 species